rnacentral:lncRNA from 1 species
UUACUAGUUUUCAUGUCUCUGUACUCGAAAUCGUUAAAUGUUGGAAUAUUUUGAUGCUCGGUUUUUAUAAGCUUGAUCGAAAACUAAAAAAAAAGCACAGAAAAAUCGAGAAUCCCGCCGGAAUUUGGCGAGAAUCCCACCUGCGCACCGGAACUUUAGGGAAAGAAAACCUGCUGCCGCACCUGUUUUCGGAGCAGAAUUUGGAGGGUUUGGAGUGCGAAUUUGGGAAUCAUUCCUUGACGAAACCCGUAGAGGACCUCGAAAAAUAUUGGUAAGUGUAAAAUUGUAUCGAGUUAGAGUAUGUUUUGAAGCUGAUUAGAGGUCCGAAUUAAGUGACUGUAAAUCUGUAAAACAGGGCAGUUUUGAAUAUUCUUCUUACGAGGCCG